UGUGCCCAGGUGUGUGACAGGUGUGCUCAGGUGUGUCACAGGUGUGCCCAGGUGUAUCUCAGGUGUGUGACAGGUGUGUUUUCCAGCCCCCAAAGGUGAGCAGGAGCUGCAGGUGCUGCAGGUGUGUCACAGGUGUAUCUCAGGUGUGCCCAGGUGUGUGACAGGUGUGUUUUCCAGCCCCCAAAGGUGAGCAGGAGCUGCAGGUGCUGCAGGUGUGUGACAGGUGUGCCCAGG